GUUGCCAUUCCUGGCCGCGUUUACAAAACAGUUUCGCUGGUGUGCGACUUCGCAUAUCUAUUGCGAUUUGGGGUUUUCCUCGAGGAGCGUCGCCGGCCGUUCUCUUUUUUUCUUUCGAUCGUCGGUAAGCCUUUUUCAUCUCUGGUUUUGAUUGUUGUUCCGUAUCGAAGAAGGAAAGUUGAGAGGAUAUAUCGGAUUUUAUAUUCUGGUAAUUUUUUUUUGAUUAGCGAUUCGAUUGAUCGAGGUUUGCUCUCUCGAUCUGCUUUCUCUCUGCUAAUCCCGGUCUCCAAGUGUAGAUUUUCUUGUUAUGUUGCAGUUGGAGAAGAUAUCCGAUUGAUUAUACUGUUGCUUUCCUUAUUGUUACUAGAUUAGAUGCGUGUCUGGAUUUUCUAGGGUUUGGAGUCGGAUUUUUUUUGAAAUUAGGGUAUUACAAGAAACGAUUUCACUUUCGGGUGGGACUUGUACUCUACAGGUUUCCUGUUAGGGUUUUGUUGGUUUUCUGGGGGUUUAAUUUCGUGGAACUAGAGGUUCAAUUCGAUUCGAUCUCUAUUCUCUCUAUAUAUUUUUUAAAUACUGAUUCGAGGGAAGAAGAAGCUUUAGAGUGUAUGGCGGCAGGAAGACAUGGUGGCUACCGUGAUAACGAAUUCCGAGACCGUGAGUCUGAUGUUGAGGUUUCCAGGAGGAGAGAUUUUUAUUACACGAAGGAAGAUUAUGAUCGCGGUCACAUAGGUGAACAUGACCGCGGAAGAAGUCGCCGUCGGGAGUUUGAACGUGUAAAGGAGAGAGAUGGCAGGGAUAGGACUAGAGUUAGACAGAAGGAUAUUAAGGAAAGAGAAGUAGUAAAUGGCGGUUACUAUUCUUCCUCAAGCACUAGCAACUCAGCUAGCAGUGGAAGUGGUCGCGGAGGAAGUGGUUUUCCUGUUAGAAUGGCAGACCGUGAACCUGGUGAGUUGUCAAGUGGGAGUGGAUCUGAUGGUGCUGUUGCUUCUGAAUCGCAGGUUAAGGAUGUAGAGGUUUCAAAGAAUGAAAAUGGUGUUAGGUCUCCUCAAGGAAAGAAGAGAAAGUUCUCCCCAAUUGUGUGGGACAGAGAAGAGAAGGAGCUGAGCAAUUCUUCUAAAAACAGAAUUGCUCCGUCGAGUACUGUUCCCCCACUGCAGCCCAAAUCCACCCUCCAGUCACCAAAUAUUGUUCCUGAAGGGGCUGUGCAAAUUUCUCCCAACAAACAUAAUGACGUUCAAAGCUCACAGAUUUCACCCUUCGCACCUUCAGUAGCACCUGGGUCAGUGGGCUCUGCUGUGUCUGAAUCACUAGCAGGAUUAUCUUCGUCACCACCUGAGCAUCAGUGGAGCAACGAUAGAGAACCGGGGCAGCUGGAAGAGGAAGACUUUGUUCCAGCACGGAACAUUUCAUCAUCCCGAUGGGCAGAUGAAGGCAAUUCUGCAGAUGAAGGUGAAAUAUCUGAUGACGAAGACAUGCCUAAGAAGAAGAAAAAGAUGCCUACGUCUGAGAUAUUGGACACCAGGUUAAAUCCAAAGACAUCAAGCCCUGAGCUCGGGGAACCUACUAGAGAAGGUUCUGAAGGUGCUCGAGCUAAAUCGUCUGACUCUAAUGAUGGAGUACAUCGUGUUUCCUCUGCAGAUGAACAUGGAGAAAACGAAGUGGAUAAUGAUGACUAUAUGGACAUUGAUGAGGAGAAUGACCACAAAAAUGUUGGUGAUAACCAGUUGGAUACAGAUUCUGGGGAGGAAGAUGAUCCCCGUAAAACACCAGAGCCUCCAAUUCCGCAGCAGAGAAAUAUAAACAUGCUUCAGGGGUGUAGAAGUGUUGAUGAAUUUGAGAGACUCAAUAAGAUUGAUGAAGGUACUUAUGGUGUUGUAUAUAGAGCCAAGGAUAAGAAAACGACGGAAAUUGUAGCAUUGAAGAAGGUGAAGAUGGAGAAGGAAAGGGAAGGUUUCCCACUGACCUCUUUGAGGGAAAUAAACAUUCUUCUGUCAUUCCAUCAUCCAUCUAUUGUGGAUGUUAAGGAAGUUGUUGUAGGUAGCAAUCUUGACAGUAUUUUUAUGGUGAUGGAGUACAUGGAACACGAUCUUAAAGGGUUGAUGGAAACGAUGAAGCAGCCUUUUAGCCAAAGUGAAGUCAAAUGCUUGAUGCUACAGCUGUUGGAGGGUGUGAAGUAUCUUCAUGACAACUGGGUUCUUCAUAGGGAUUUGAAGACAUCGAAUCUUCUUUUGAAUAACCGGGGUGAAUUGAAGAUCUGCGAUUUUGGGUUGGCUCGUCAAUAUGGGAGCCCAUUGAAGCCCUAUACUCAUUUGGUGGUUACUCUAUGGUACAGGGCACCUGAACUUCUAUUAGGAUCUAAACAAUAUUCGACUGCUGUUGACAUGUGGUCAUUGGGUUGUAUAAUGGCUGAACUUUUAGCUAAAGAGCCAUUAUUCCCUGGGAAAGCUGAGGUUGACCAGAUUGACAAGAUUUUCAAGAUGCUUGGCACGCCAAAUGAGACAAUUUGGCCUGGGUUUUCUAAAUUGCCUGGUGUCAAGGUCAACUUUGUUAAGCACCGGUAUAAUAUGCUCCGUAAGAAAUUUCCGGCCACAUCUUUCACUGGAUCUCCAAUUCUAUCAGAUGCGGGAUUUGAUUUGUUGAAUAAACUUCUGACAUACGAUCCAGAGAAGCGGAUAACAGCAGAAGCUGCUCUUAACCAUGAGUGGUUUCGUGAGGUUCCCCUUCCCAAAUCCAAAGAUUUUAUGCCAACAUUUCCCGCUCAACAUGCUCAAGACAGGCGUCUACGGCGAAUUAUGAAAAGCCCAGAUCCGUUGGAGGAGCAGAGGAGAAAGGAAUUGCAACAAGGGGAAUUAGGAACUGGAGGUUUAUUUGGCUAGGGGGGGAAGGACAUUGCCCAGUGGCAUUUGAGCUACAAUCUUUAAGUUUUUCUCUCAUUCACCUCUGAUGGACGUGGUUUAGGUGAGAAUUAUGUACUGAGUGUGAAGUUGCGAAAUCUCUCUGUGAGACGACCAUUGAUGCUCUUCUUUAGCAGGCCUCUGAUGAAUUGGGUGGAGAAAAAUGUUCUCUUUUGUCUCCCACCAACCAAGUUGUGGUGCAGGAUAUUUUCUCUCACUUCGAGCAUUGGUGAUCAUAAAAAAAAGUGCAUACUUCCUUUACCCUGCUUUCAUCGCAAGAGACAAUUGGUGUGAAGCGGAGGGAGCGUUAUUUGCUCUUCAUAGCAGAAGAAACUGAUGGGAAAAUUUCACUUCCAAGCUUAAGUUGUGGCUUCCUCAAAAAAGUAUGAAGCUUUUGAUGGUUACUAACCUGAGCAAUAUGCACAUACUGAUCAACUCUUUGAAGCUCUUGAAUGAACAGCAGUAACAUUUUGCUACAAAGCUGUGCUCUUGUGGUCAGUAUCCAACUACUGCCCCUCCUACAUCAGGAAAAGGUCAUUUAUUUUGUUAGCAAUCUUGCUGUCUAUGUAUGAAGGAUCAAUGAUGUUCGUGUGUGUCCUUAUGAAUCGUCCCUCAACUUUCAAUAUGACUUUUGUGGGCUUCCUGGCACCUACUCUCUCAAUUAGAUUGGUUUUUAGAGCUUGGAUAAACUGAUUCUUGAUAAAAUGCUUGGGAACUACAUUGUUGCAAUUCCUUUGUCAUUUGUUUUGCCUUUGUGGUGUGAACAAGUUCAAGAUUUUCGGUGGCUCUGGUACUUUCAUGACAGUUGUCUGCAAAUGUUACUGCAGUAUCAGAGCAAGGAGGUUGAGGAGGGUAUUCAUCAUUCAAGAGUUUAUAGGACAAUUUUGUUUUGGUGGUCCACAAUAUGAUUUCAUCAGAUGGAGGUUCCUCACUAGAGGUACUAUUGCCAGCCUUAGUUUUGUUCUUCCUGGACUUGGUAAGACAAUUGAGCUUCUCAUUUUUGGUAACCACAAACCAAUGUGUUAAAAUGAAUAAAUAUUGAUUGGAUUUUUUUUUGGCAUUAACCUUUUUCUUAGUCAUAGAAUCAAUUAGAUACUCUAGAUCUAUUUGGUUCUUGUUGUUGAAGAAUGGAUUUUUUUUUUAUUAUUUGUUAGUUGAUUAAAUCAUUAAAAGUAAAGAAGUUAAAUUUAUAUUCGUAUUAUUUAGCAAUGAUGUUGAAAGUUCUAAACUUACCUGUAUAUCCCCCUUCACUGCUUUACGGUGCAUUCAAAGUAUCUGGGAGAUCGUCAUGUUUCUCUUUUUCCUUCCAAAUAGUUAAAUUGAGAUCAGUUUAUUUUCAUGUGAAAUAUUGAAAAUAUUUUCCUAUUAAAUCAGUUAUGACUGGACGAAACAUAUUGUUGUUAUGGAUAAAAGAUGGACAAACAGUUUGGUCAAUAAUCUGUGCAAGUCCUUUUUACUUGGGCUCAUAAAGUGACACACUUGUUUGUCUUAGCAUAAAGUUGCUCUCGAGACUCAGACACGUGUCUUUACACUGACAGUGAGCUUUUUUCCAUCGAACCAGUUGUCCUACAGGUAAAAAAAGGGACAAGCAGCUAAAAUAUCUUAUACUAAUUUCUGCCAAAUGUACAUUCUAAAAUUGAAUUGCCAUUUUCCUGGAAAAGAAGCUUGCUUUCAGUUGCAGUAUUACCUUACUUGUAGUCUUAGAUGAGUUGUGGAAUUAAGACAGCGGCCAAUAACGUAUGUUGGAAAAGAUCUUAUAAAAGAUAUGUUGGAGGUGGAUCCCUGUAUGGGAAUAAUUUCAGUUUACCAUCACAUUGUAGUAUUAUUUGUAAUAAGAUGGGCCCAAAAGUUUUAAAGAUCCAAACUAACAAAAAACUAAUAAAUCAAACUCCCCUCUUGACAAGACAUGCUUGAGUUGCCACUAAAUGCUUGUGUUGCUUUUUACAGGAGCAUUGUUAGCGUUAUAGCAAGUAAUAUAUGACAAUUAAUGAUUAUGCUCUAGUCAAUUUAAAUUAUAUGAAUGAGCAAUGGAGGAAAGAUUCUUUUUCUUAAUUUUAUUUUUGGGGUUUGGUUGGUUGGAGAGGGGGUUGGUUUUAAGGUGGGGGAUGAUGGGAGAUACUUAAGAUGGUGGGGAUAUAGAAGGUGGUAAAAAAUAUGGUGGUGGUUAGGCACAAUGAAACAUGACCUGAGAAUUAUACCUAUCCUCCUCUGGACAUGGUGCUGUGUCUCCAUAAUUAUGCCUUUUGAGACUUGGUCAAGAUGUACUGGUUGUCUAGAAUGACUGAGUUCCUCUGAGACUUGGUGUAAAUCAAAACAGUUGCAUAUCUCAGUUUGUUUUGAAGAUUGACUUGUUUUUUAGAAAGCUGGUUUGAUCUGCAGAUGUUAAAGACGAGAUCUAAAAAAAUGAUAAACUAAUACCUGGACUUUGGAGCUAUUCGGUUCUUUUGUUGCUAACAGGCUAUUAGUUAUGAGUACUUGUAAUGGGUUUGAUUAUGAUGCCGUCGGCGAUCUUUGUUCUAUUCAAGAGAGGAACUCGCACAGAGUGGGAGUUGGAGUUGAAGCAAAGAUAGGAGUCUCCCAUUUGAUUCUUUUACAACAGAUGUUUCAAUUUAUGUAUAGAACAUAUGGAGUCAUGAAGUUUUUGGUCAAAAACUUUGAUAAAAUUCGUUCCUAUUAUGAUAGGAGAAAAAGUCAAUCAUGCCCCUUACAAUGUAGUCCCUCCAACCUUCCUACGUUUAGCGUUGUUUAUAUAUAGCUAUUAAACAUUAAGAAAGCAAGAAUUUGUAAUGACAGAUAUAUACAUUAUGAUUAUUUUCAGAAGAAUUAAUAUUCAUUUAGAAUGAAUGCCUCAACAUCUGUUGAAGUAUACUUUCAUGAUUUCUGAAGUUCAUUCAGAUACAUGUAUUACAUCCCUCCACCUGUAUGCGUUUGUGCAUGUAAUUGAGCCAAUGUUUAUACUACUUUCAUAAUUGUGUUUUCUCGGUGUUUCUUUUUUCCUUUUUCUUUAGCUCAUAAGAAGCUUAUAACCAACUCUUUGGAAGCAUCUAUUUAAAGCUUGUUCUGUAACAAUACAUUGCCCCCCAGAAUUAUUUUGACAUGAUGCUUGGGCGUAUCUGUAUUUGGUGGAUCACUAUUGUUUGUUGCAGCUCUGCUUCUGGUUGUUUUCAUAAUGUCUGUUCCCAUAUAUUAUUUUCGGGUUGUUUGAACAGAAACUGUGCUUGUAGAAGAUGUUACUGGUUUGAGAUGGGGUUUCUCGUUCCAGUCCCUCUAUGGCUUUUCUAGUAGUAGUGGUGGUUGAAACCUUGGUUUGUCGCUUGGGGGUUGAGGGAAAAUCAUCGGUUGUGCCUUUAUGGGGUAGGACCAUCUUUUUAAUUUGCAAGAUUGCACUGUAUCUCACACCAUUUUCAUUCUCAAAGAAUCAUGUUCUUCAAUAGUACUUUCUGCAGGAAGGUGUGGGAAUGGUGAUUGUGAACUUUAAUAGAUUCUACUGCCUAAGAGUCACUGUGAGACAGUACUUGUUUGACCCCUUGUAGCGGAAUUGUGGUCGAGGAUUUCUUUAAUAAAAUGUCCAAAUGCCAGUUUGCUGUUUCAUCAUCUGCAGGUUGUGAACCGCAGUAUUAGCCUGAACUUGCUCCCAUCCAAUAUUAACUCAAGGUGACUGCAAUCUAAAGAAAUGAUGAAUUCUACUGUCCGAACUCAUCCGUUUCAGUUGUGCAAAUAUAGAGGGUGCUCUCAUACGAUGGAGAUCGUUGGUUUGUUGUUAUGUGGCUUUAUGAAUUCGGAGUCGCUGGAGGUUAAUCAAAGAACCGAGUCUAGAUUGAGAAAGGAUUCCUAGAGAAGGUUCGAGGGAAGCUUCUUGUGGGAUUUGUUUUCCUCUCCUAUUAAAUGCGAGUUGCGCGUCAUGUCACUUCGACAACGGCCUUAGGAAGAAAAAUGGCGGACUUCCUUUCAUCCAUUAGGAAGAGGGGCUUCUAAAUACGUUACACGGUCAUAAUUAUAAAAAUGGAAAAAUGCUGAUAAAAAAAGCUGGCUAUGUUAACGGUAUACCAAAAUAUCUCUCUAUAGUGUCGUAUAUUUCUCCCAUCCAAGUCCUUUCCAUUAGUUGAACAGUUGGUUCAGAGAAAGCUGGCAACGUACUAACCACCCAAGUUUUUGUGUCCUUGUGAUUUGAUUUUAAGAGUGAUUAUUCGUAGGCCUAAAGCUGGCAACGUACUUGACCUCCCCACUUUUUGUGUCCUUGUGAUUUGAUUUUGAGAGUGAUAGUUCGUAAGCCUAUGUGCUGAAGGUGAUAAAACUUUAUAGGGAAUUUAAAAGGUAGUGUGUGGUAUUUUAUUUGAUGUAAACGGGCCCGAUAAAUUAGAUUUCGAUGGUAUAUUAUUUCUAAUGUUAAAAUAAUUUGCAUGUUAAGU